rfam:Camelus ferus unplaced genomic scaffold scaffold689, whole genome shotgun sequence.
GGGUAUAUAGCUCAGUGGUAGAACGCAUGCUUAGCAUACAUGAGGUUCUGGGUUCGAUCCCCAGUAUCUCUA